AUUAUGUCGUCACUGGACAAGGUAGUUUUCUACUUGCUUAAGCAAUGAAUUUUUGUGAAUGCCUUCAGUUUUCUGAAUAGGUUUUAAAUUCUACAAAAGUAUAUAGUUUUUCCUCAUUCUAUAGAACCUAUCAUAGUGAACAUUGCUGCCGUAGUUGUCUCUAAUAACACUUCAUUCAAUCAGAAUUUGAGUCUUCCUUUCUUUUUCCAUUUAUAUGGGUUUGGCGAUUUGAUUGGAUUAGCUGUUGCGUUGAAGGCAAUUUCUCAUGUUGCAUAGAUAUUGAUA
rnacentral:misc_RNA from 1 species